UACAGGGGGUGCAAACGUUGCUCGGAAUUAUUGGGCGUAAAGCGCACGUAGGCGGUUUGUUAUGUCGGAUGUGAAAGCCCUUGGCUCAACUGAGGAAGUGCAUCCGAAACUGGCAAGCUAGAGUAUGUAAGAGGGUCGCGGAAUUCCCGGUGUAGAGGUGAAAUUCGUAGAUAUCGGGAGGAACACCGGUGGCGAAGGCGGCAUCCUGGACCAACACUGACACUGAGGAGCGAAAGCCAGGGGAGCAAACGGG
rnacentral:rRNA from 1 species